rnacentral:rRNA from 1 species
GUGCCAGCCGCCGCGGUAAUACGGAGGAUGCAAGCGUUAUCCGGAUUCAUUGGGUUUAAAGGGUGCGCAGGCGGGCUUGUAAGUCAGUGGUGAAAUACUGCCGCUUAACGGUAGAAUUGCCAUUGAUACUGCAAGUCUUGAGUAUGGUUGAGGUAGGCGGAAUGUGCAGUGUAGCGGUGAAAUGCAUAGAGAUUGCACAGAACACCGAUUGCGGAGGCAGCUUACUAAGCCAUAACUUACUCUGAGGCACGAAAGCGUGGGGAGCGAACAGGAUUAGAAACCCGGGUAGUCC